GGCGCCACUGGGCCUCACUUCGGGUCACCGUAGAGCUGAAAAUACGAAAUGCUAUGCCAUGAUAAUGAGUGUCCUGGAGGAAGGUGAGGGAUGGUACGAGUCCCUGUGUGCAUUAAUCACACGGGGCAAAAGGCUUUUGGCAGGCUGAUGCUGACAACUUCAGUUUCACAGCAUAUGCGGCUGGAAAGAUCGCCUUCUCUGUCAAGGGGAGGCACCAGAAUAACUUUAAAGGCAUCAAAUAUCCUCCCUGACGCUGGAUGGAAAGCUCAUCUAGAAGGUGACAGGAUGAAAUGUGAAACCUGCAGAAGCACUUAGAGACAACGACGAGUCAUUCACAAUUGAAUGAGCCAAGAAAGGUAGGAGUACUAAUGAAAAUUAAAUGGAACUGGAAAUAUUCAGAAGAGACUGGCAGUAAUAUCCUUUGGCAGUAGAUAUCAAACGUAGAUAUUAACUCUUUGCUACAGUAGGACAAAUCUUUAAAAAAAAGAGGAAACAGAAAUAUAUUUGUAUUUCAAAUGUUCUGCCCCAUUAAUGUGACUGCUGCCAGAUUGGUUAAGCCUCCUUAGGAAUUCGCAGAACUUCCCAAACCGGAAUUCUGAGCUCAUCCAAAUAUUAAGAAGGGAUCGAGCUUUUUUUAAGGCCCUGUUUGGAAAACUGAUGUAGGAGAAUAUUUGAUUUGACCAUUCAACCAGAAAAACAUGGCAUGACUCUCAGAUAUAGCAAGACAUAGCAGUUUCCCAACCAGCAUUAAGAGGUCGUGGCUCAGAGCUUAAUCUUCUAAAAAGACAAAUCCACUGCCCCAGGAAUCAACCUGGUGAACUUUUGCUGUACACUCCUUCUUGGAAAACACAUCCUUCCUAAGGACAUAUAACAAUAAAACACUCUUGAUGACUUGAUUCACUGGUGGAUUUGCCACUCAGUCCAGUGUCAGAGCAUUAAUGUACUGAGCAGGGGGACCAGAUGUAGUUCACAAAUUGUGGCAGUAGCAUGACCCUGAAUGAAAAGGUAAGUGCAAGUUAACAGCUUAGUUAUUUUACUUUAUCUCAACACACGCCAAGUCGUGUCAGAUAAUUGUAAAUGUUAUUAAAGUUUUCAAACUAAUUAAUUAAUUAAUUAUAUAAUCAUACAAUUAUGGCAGCCGAUGACACAGCUGUUGCCUCACAGUAUCUGAUGCUGACCUUGGCUGCCGUCUGCGUGAGGUUGCACAUUCUUCUCGUGACCAUGUGGGUUUUCUCCGGGCUGCCACGGUUUCCUCACACAUUCGAUGCGAGCGUCGACAGGUUAAUUGCCCGAAGUGUGUCGGGAGUGCAUAACAAAGUGGGAUGACAUGGAAC